rnacentral:rRNA from 1 species
UACAGAGGGUGCGAGCGUUGUUCGGAAUUAUUGGGCGUAAAGGGCGCGUAGGCGGCUUGCACAGUCAGGCGUGAAAUUCCUGGGCUCAACCUGGGGACUGCGCUUGAGACGUGUGGGCGUUGAGUGGGGAAGAGGGUCGUGGAAUUCCCAGUGUAGAGGUGAAAUUCGUAGAUAUUGGGAAGAACACCGGUGGCGAAGGCGGCGACCUGGUCCUUGACUGACGCUGAGGCGCGAAAGCGUGGGGAGCAAACAGG